rnacentral:rRNA from 1 species
GUGCACGCUGGCGGUAGGCCUAACACAUGCAAGUCGAACGGCAGCACCGUAAGAGCUUGCUCUUACGGGUGGCGAGUGGCGGACGGGUGAGGAAUACAUCGGAAUCUACUUUUUCGUGGGGGAUAACGUAGGGAAACUUACGCUAAUACCGCAUACGACCUACGGGUGAAAGCAGGGGAUCUUCGGACCUUGCGCGAUUGAAUGAGCCGAUGUCGGAUUAGCUAGUUGGCGGGGUAAAGGCCCACCAAGGCGACGAUCCGUAGCUGGUCUGAGAGGAUGAUCAGCCACACUGGAACUGAGACACGGUCCAGACUCCUACGGGAGGCAGCAGUGGGGAAUAUUGGACAAUGGGCGCAAGCCUGAUCCAGCCAUACCGCGUGGGUGAAGAAGGCCUUCGGGUUGUAAAGCCCUUUUGUUGGGAAAGAAAAGCAGCAGGUUAAUACCCCGCUGUUCUGACGGUACCCAAAGAAUAAGCACCAGCUAACUUCGUG